AUAUUUAUACUUUUACACAUUAGAACGAUACAGAGAAUAUUAUCAUGGCCCCUAUGCAAGGAUGACACACAAAUUCAUGAAGAGUUCCAUAAGUUU
rnacentral:snRNA from 1 species